AUCAACACAAUUGAAAAGAACAUAUUUGUUUGUUCAGAUCACAUCCUUAGAAGUGAUUUCUUAUAUAAGGGAGAUAAUAUUAUCAGUAGCCAGACUUUAUUAAAAAAAUCAGCUCUACCUUAAAGGAUUUCUGAUGCACUGGUUAAAAACACAGCAGCCGAUAAUUCAGUUAAUUUACCAAGUGAUUUACCCUUCAAAGCUGCAGGGGUAGUUUUCUUGAAGAGUGCAAAAACUUUUUUAGAUUCCAAAAUGGUAUAUAGUACAAAUAGUGAAGCUAAUAUACACAAAUCUGAUCAUUCAUCAACAAUUACUAUUUCUCAUCCAAGCCGUUUUUGUUUAACUGCUACACAUUCCCUGACUCUGCCAAGGAAAAGGGUAAAAUCAAAAUGAUAUCCUGAGGACCUAAGCACUGAUGAUUCCACCGUUUCAAAAGCUAAAUCACUUGUCACCAAAUUAUGGAAAAAAAAAAGAACAAAAAAUUAAAAUUCGACGAUUGCAGCAAAUUUGCGCCAAAGAAAUUGAAUUAGAUGUC